UUUAAUGUGCCUCCAAAAUGCCGCACGGGAAGAGGCUCUCCCACUCCGCCAUUAACGAAAUUAGUUUCGCAGCUGUGUAGUGUACUUUUUAGUGUGCGUGAGUAUGUGUGCAGCUCUUGCUUUCAGCCACUCAUUGGCGCAAUGCGCGCAACCGGUGCGUCAGCGUGCGUUCGCCUAUCGCGCUCUCGCGGUCUUGCCCGGUUUAGUUCUAGAUGUCUCCUCCUUGCCCGGCCUGUCCAGACGACAGUCUAUAAAUCAGGCUAACGACACGGCGGGUGGCCAGUGGACAGCUGACUGCAGCAGAAUCACAGUUUUCGCACAGUGAUUUAUGCGUGGAAAACUAGCCGUGCCGUACUACUUCGUGGUAGGUCGCGGUGCAAAGUAGUCCAACAGGCAGCACCGUAGCCCCAGUGCUUUCCUUUCGGGCAUGAUGAGCGGACUACGCAAGCACGUGUGUUGGUGUUUUUGGCGAAUUUUUGCAACGUUUCAAUGAAUUUUGUUUUGGCAGUGUUUUGACAAACGAGAAAUACAUAUUCUACGCAGCACCGGCACGAAUA